AAACUAAAUGUAUUGAUGUUUUAUUUUUGCCAAAAUUUUAUCCAUAAAAUCUUACUGUGGCUACGAAGACCUGAAAUUCCGAAUCGCUACAAUACAUGACUUUAAUUAUGUUGCAUACCUAUGCUGAUACAGAUGAAAUGGAGAGUUCUUAAAUAUAACACUCGAUACAUUAAUUAUUGUAUUCUUAUCUCAUUAAUCUGUUGGGAUCUACCGAGCAUAAUUCUGGUGGAAAAUCAAUAAUGGCAUUGGAAUUCACAACAGUUAUUUCGUUUGCCGAGUGCAACAUUUGUAAACAGUGCGGUGAGAGGGAGCGCGCGAGAAUUUCGGCGUCGGCACAUGGCAGCAACUUAGCAAAACCAAUACGAAUCCACGGGCGAGCUGAAAGCUUCUUGAUAUGCAGCACUACCAGGGGCAUAUACGCAAUCAAUUCAACAUUUUGACUCCUGGAAAGGGCAUUUGCCACCAAUCGCUAGACUCCCCUUAUCGCAGUCGGCACUGCCUGAUAGGCAUAUCACUGUGGUAACGUCAUGGCAGACGACAACAAUCACGAUUGCUUCAGAUCACUACGCAAGUACGGAAAACACGCGGGAAUACGCUUGAUAGUAGAACAAACAUGCCAUGCUUUGCCAAUUCACUUUAAUUUUCAAACACAUUUCACACAAAAAAUCAAUGUUAUCACUGCAGUGUGCACCAUAUUGCUUCGAGUACCGAAAUCGCGA